rnacentral:rRNA from 1 species
GAUGAACGCUGGCGGCGUGCCUAAUACAUGCAAGUCGAGCGAACAGAUGAGGAGCUUGCUCCUCUGACGUUAGCGGCGGACGGGUGAGUAACACGUGGAUAACCUACCUAUAAGACUGGGAUAACUUCGGGAAACCGGAGCUAAUACCGGAUAAUAUAUUGAACCGCAUGGUUCAAUAGUGAAAGACGGUUUUGCUGUCACUUAUAGAUGGAUCCGCGCCGCAUUAGCUAGUUGGUAAGGUAACGGCUUACCAAGGCAACGAUGCGUAGCCGACCUGAGAGGGUGGUCGCCCACACUGGAACUUGGACACGGUCCAUAGUCCUGCGGUAGGCAGCAGUAGGGAAUCUUCCGCAAUGGGCGAAAGCCUGACGGAGCAACGCCGCGUGAGUGAUGAAGGUCUUCGGAUCGUAAAACUCUGUUAUUAGGGAAGAACAAAUGUGUAAGUAACUAUGCACGUCUUGACGGUACCUAAUCAGAAAGCCACGGCUAACUACGUG